GGGGCCUUAGCUCAGUUGGUAGAGCGCCUGCUUUGCAAGCAGGAUGUCGUCGGUUCGAAUCCGUCAGGCUCCA
rfam:Paracoccus contaminans strain RKI 16-01929T=LMG 29738T=CCM 8701T=CIP 111112T, complete genome.